AACCUCAUGUUUAGUGACGUUGCCGUUGCCGUUGCCGCGUGAUUUUGUUAAACUUCUUUGCCUAGACGGCAGAAGGAUCACGGUAAUAAAGAAAUACUAAAAUGGCUAAAUGCGCUCUGUUCUUUUACUUCACUUUCUUGAAGCCUUUUAUUCGGUUUAAACAUUUUCCUUCUCCUUUGGCAACUAGACGAGGUCCACUAACUUGGGGUCUUUUCCAAGGAACAGAAGAAAACACUUAAAUGAAUGUAAUAAUUCCUGCGUAUCAAAGUUUGUUAAGAGUUCAUUUUUGGCAGAGGAUAUUUUUAUUGUUUACUUGAAUUGUUGCUAUAUAUGGUUGAAAUCGCUGAAUAAGUAAAAUUAAAGUUAUUAGAGGCUUAUGACAGAG